UACCGGAUAUAACAGAUGAUGCCUAUCAACUGUUUAAAGAUGGUUCUGCUAUCACUCUUGGAUGGACCUGCGGUGCAUUAGCUAGUUGGUAGGGUAACGGCCUACCAAGGGCGAUGAUGCAUAGCCCGAGUUGAGAGACUGAUCGGCCACAUUGGGGACUGAGACACGGCCCAAACUCCUACGGGAGGCAGCAGUAGGGAAUCUUCCACAAUGGACGCAAGUCUGAUGGAGCAAACGCCGCGUGAGUGAAGAAGGGUUUCGGCUCGUAAAGCUCUGUUGUUGGUGAAGAAGGACAGGGGUAGUAACUGACCCUUUGUUUGACGGCAAUCAAUUAGAAAGUCACGGGCUAACUACGUGCCAGCAGCCGCGGUAAAU
rnacentral:rRNA from 1 species